rnacentral:lncRNA from 1 species
UAAUAGAUUAAAAAAUUAAGUUAGCAAACUAAUUAUUUACUAAAUGAUGAAAAUAUAUAGACUAAAAAUAAUAUAAAAUAAUACCGAUCAUAGGAGGACAUCCAUCAUCAUCGGUCAAGUCAUCAUCAUAGGCAUUAGUAGGAACAUCGGGAGUUGAUGGGGGAGGCAUGCUGGGGGGCAUGCGGCGAACUAACUCAUCGAGCUUUAUCCCAAAUAUUACAAACUGGGAU